rnacentral:rRNA from 1 species
GUCCUCUUGUUUAUAUAUGAGGUUUGACCUGCCCGGUGAGAUUUAUUUUAACGGCCGCAGUAUUUUGACUGUGCAAAGGUAGCAUAAUCAUUAGUCUUUUAAUAGGGGGCUGGUAUGAAGGGUUUGACGAGGUGUUUACUGUCUCAUUUAAUUUGUAUUUAGAAUUUAACUUUUCAGUUAAAAGGCUGAAAUGAUAUUGGAAGACGAGAAGACCCUAUAGAGCUUUAUAAUUAAAACUUUAAUUAUUUUUUGUUUAUUAUUUUUUAUUAUUAUUUUAAUUAUUUUGUUGGGGUGACAAAAAUAUAUAAUUAACUUUUUUAUUUAAUUAACAUUGAUUUAUGAUUAUUAGAUCCAUUACUAGUGAUUGUUAGAUUAAGUUACCUUAGGGAUAACAGCGUAAUCUUCCUUCAGAGUUCAUAUUUACGGGAAGGCUUGCGACCUCGAUGUUGGAUUAAGAUAAUAAUUAGGUGUAGCCGCUUAAUAUAUAGGUCUGUUCGACCUUUAAAUUCUU